UGUUAACAUUUGUUAGAGUUUGAUUCUGGCAUUGACCUAUGUGCUAAUUCAUUGCUAACUGUGAUCCAAAGAAACCACACAAGCUAAAAUCAAUGACAUUUUCACUAAUCAGCUCAGACUGAUAAGUGAAGCUCUAAAGUAACUGUGCAGAAUUUUUUUUGUACUGCUGUAAAUUAAAUGCUAGAAGCCCUUGUUUUCUUCUUUUCUUUCUCAUCAUCACUGCUAAUAUGAUGGCAGGAUUUUUUCCAAGUACAGGUAGACAAAUCUGUAUGCUAUAUUUACAAUUAUGCUGAAGACUGUAUACCUUGUUCAAUGAAGCAGGCUAUGUGCAAAUUGUAGGUAUACAUGAGUCUGUUAAUGAAGAGCCUAGUGAAUGCCAGACUGUGCAAAGGAGAGCUGAUAAUUGUUAGGAAUCCAGUUUGUGUGGGUUGUGUUUUUGCUGUUUUUCUCUCCCUCCACCACCAGGUGGUGCCCUGUCCUCAUUGGUCCUCCUGCACACCUGCGGCAGGUUGGCUCAUCACUGAGGAGUAUUUCAGCGACGGACUGUCACUACCUCGACGCCAGAGUGUUCGCCAGUUUUGGGAAGUCAUCCUGCAUACUGGAUGUUUGGCCUUCUCCCCCCGGAAGGAUUGUUUGAGCUUCACACUGAGCAGGGGAUUAAUCUCCACACGUCCCGUUCAAGUUCUCCUGGAAAUCUAAAUGGCAGUCCGCUCUGCAUUGGUCCUCAGGAACCAACCAAACCAAAACCUGUCCGCCCUUCAACCAAGAAACCUUUCUCUGCAAACUUCCGGUUCACCAGCUCUCUGAGUUCCCCUGAAUCCAACCCAUUUGAACUCCUCAAU